AGCGAACGCUGGCGGCAGGCUUAACACAUGCAAGUCGAGCGGGCCCUUCGGGUGGUGGACAGUGGCAGACGGGUGAGUAACGCGUGGGAACGUGCCUUUCGGUUCGGGAUAACCCAGGGAAACUUGGGCUAAUACCGGAUACGCCCUCCGGGGGAAAGAUUCAUCGCCGAAAGAUCGGCCCGCGUCGGAUUAGCUAGUUGGUAGGGUAAUGGCCUACCAAGGCGACGAUCCGUAGCUGGUCUGAGAGGAUGACCAGCCACACUGGGACUGAGACACGGCCCAGACUCCUACGGGAGGCAGCAGUGGGGAAUAUUGGACAAUGGGCGAAAGCCUGAUCCAGCCAUGCCGCGUGGGUGAAGAAGGCCUUAGGGUUGUAAACCCCUUUCAGCGGGGAAGAUAAUGACGGUACCCGCAGAAGAAGUCCCGGCUAACUCCGUGCCAGCAGCCGCGGUAACAC
rnacentral:rRNA from 1 species